rnacentral:rRNA from 1 species
UCCCUACGGGAGGCAGCAGUGGGGAAUAUUGGGCAAUGGAGGCAACUCUUACCCAGCAAUGCCGCGUGAACGAUGACGGUCCUCUGGAUUGUAAAGUUCUGUUGUUUGGGAAGAACGGCUCUAAUAGGAAAUGAUUAGAGAUUGACUGUACCAUUCAAGAAAGCCACGGCUAACUACGUGCCAGCAGCCGCGGUAAUACGUAGGUGGCGAGCGUUAUCCGGAUUUAUUGGGCGUAAAGCGUCCGCAGCCGGUUUAUUAAGUAUAGAAUAAAACUUCGGGGCUCAACCCAGUCUCGUUCUAUAAAC